rnacentral:rRNA from 1 species
CCAGACUCCUACGGGAGGCAGCAGUGGGGGAUAUUGCACAAUGGGGGAAACCCUGAUGCAGCGACGCCGCGUGAGUGAAGAAGUAUUUCGGUAUGUAAAGCUCUAUCAGCAGGGAAGAAAAUGACAGUACCUGACCAAGAAGCCCCGGCUAACUACGUGCCAGCAGCCGCGGUAAUACGUAGGGGGCAAGCGUUAUCCGGAUUUACUGGGUGUAAAGGGAGCGUAGACGGUUAUGUAAGUCUGGAGUGAAAGCCCGGGGCCCAACCCCGGGACUGCUUUGGAAACUGUAUAACUGGAGUGCAGGAGAGGUAAGUGGAAUUCCUAGUGUAGCGGUGAAAUGCGUAGAUAUUAGGAGGAACACCAGUGGCGAAGGUGGCUUACUGGACUGUAACUGACGUUGAGGCUCGAAAGCGUGGGGAGCAAACAGGAUUAGAUACCCUAGUAC